GAGACAAAAUAUUAUUUCAACAUAUUUUAACCAGUGUAAAAAUUGUGAAAUAAUUAUCAUUAUUAUUUCAUGAGGCAUUUUAUGUUAUGUUUUGCAUUGUCUUCAAAACCCAGUGUGUGUUUUAUAAAAGUUGUAGCAGUUCAUACACUGAAUUACUUGAUCCAUAUUUAGAUUUAUAAAACUUAGUGUUUAAAAGUAGGUUCACAUGGUUCUUCCAAACAUAUCUUGUUAUUCUAAAUAUGCUUAAAGUUUUCCAGUAACUGGACCAAAUUACCAAAGUAAUUCAAAGGAAUUACUUUACUCUGAUACUUGCAUCCACAUUGACAAAACAGUUCAUCUUUCUUAUUAGAAGAAUUGAUUUUGAAGCAAAAGCAUAUCAUUUAGAAAACUGUUUGUUCAAGUAAAUUCACUAACUCUUAUAUCAUCUCAGUAUUAUUAACAGCAAAUUUGGCAUAAAGUAGUGCAUAAAAUGGAAACAAAACUAAAUUUAUCCAUAUCAACAAACCAGUACUUUCAUUUGUCUUGUUUUAUUUUUUGUAGCUAACUUAUGUAAGAUGCUGCUGAUUACAUUUAAAAUUUGUAUAUUGACCCAAUGUUAGAAAAAUAUGUACAAUUGUCAUUUUUUAUUUGUAUCAUGAAAUAUUUGUUUUAACUAAAGUAUUUCACCUAAGUAGGUACAAGUUUUUCCUGUUCUAAGGAGCUUCAAAAUUAGCAUAUUCAUAUGCAGUGUUAUGUUAAGGAGAAUUCUUGCUCUGCCACUUUUUGUCUUUGGUUUUUGAAUAUAUGGCAGGCAUUCCUUUGUUUUAAGAAAACCUUGAAUUGGAAUUUUUUUUUUUUGAAUUGGAAUUUCUAGUACAGGGAAUCUUUGUAAAAAUUCUUUUAUAACUCAACCAAGGAACAUUAGUAAAAACACAAGAUCACUAAAAAAUAUUCUCUUCACCAGUUCCCUAACCUGGCAAUGAAUAUUUUAUAGCAUUUGCACAUACAUACUGAAGAAUUUUAACAUCUGUAUUCAUGACUCUUUCUAGAGUCUGCUUUAGAAAACCGAACACAAAUAUUUUCAAUAGUUACCAGACAGUGAAACAAAAGAAUGAGGGAAACAUCAUUCUCUUGCUUUAAAAUUCCAGUACUUUUGGUCUUUUGACAACAUAGUUGGAGUCUCAUCAUAGAAACUAAUUUUUCUAUGUCUAGCUGAAAUUCUUCCAACAGAUGAGAAAAUGUCAAAAACACCUGUCAUGAGUUUGAGUUUUUAGGCAAUGAAUUGACAUUUCUUCAUAAAUUUGGAUGUUCUUUGAGACAGAAUGUACCAAAAUUUUCAAUGGGAACUGUCUUAUGUGACUCAUCUAAAAGUAAAUACUUGCAACUUUUCAAUUUGUGAGUCAAUUAAUCUUUAUUAGUAUUAGAAAUUUCUUGUAUUCUGUGAACAACAUUGUUUAGAGGGUUAAUUGAAAAGUUCGAUUUUUGUAAAUGUCUUCAAGUCUUAUAAUUUUCUAACGAAAUUACCAUAACUAAAAUGAUAAUUUCAUCAUCUCUCCGCCUAAGAUUCUUUGUAUGUGUGUGUUCAAGAAUUCAAGUAUUGUAGAGUUGGCCAAAUUUACAAGCUCAGCAAUGCUGUUAAACUUUUUUUUUUUAUGGAAAUUACUCAUUUCAUGUGACCGUUUUGUGGGUUUUUUUGACUGUUAGAAUACUUAUCGAACUAACUAGAUCGUUGCUGAAAAUGACAAAUACUAGCUGUUGUCUUAAAUAUUGUCUACAGUAUUGAACACUUUUGUAUACAACAAACAGCUUUUUCAUUUUGCUGUGCCUGCAGUAAGUUGCAAUCGCCAUUCAUCAUCGAAUGUGCACUCUACCCCCACCCCCUUUUCUCUUGAUUGUACUAGUUGUAGUACUGGCUUCUGUAGUGAACUGAAUUCUGCCUCAGUAAUAUGCCUUCGUUUAAAAUUUAAAUAUUUUCCCGUAUUUUUUUAAUCUAGAAAAUAAUUAUAAUUAAAAUAGCAUCUCAGUUGAUGAUUAUGAUUUGCAUAGGUAUCACUGUAACUUGUGCUGUCUACCUUGGUAUACUUGAACUUGUGCUAACCACAUAAAAUAUCCAAGUAAACACAUCGUGAUGUUAUCUCAGUGCAUAGAAGAAAAUCAUCUGAACCAAAUCAAUCUGUUGAUACUGCCUAGAUUGGUGAAGUGUUUAUCUGUAAUACUAGAACUAAUGCACGUUCCUGUACAAGCAUUACAGUACAGCAACAUCCUAUGCGAUGCAACAGUUAAAGUGAAUUGUAGUUCUAUGAAAACAA
rnacentral:lncRNA from 1 species